UGGGAACUGCGUUNUGAACUGGGUGACUAGAGUGUNUCAGAGGGAGGUAGAAUUCCACGUGUAGCAGUGAAAUGCGUAGAGAUGUGGAGGAAUACCGAUGGCGAAGGCAGCCUCCUGGGAUAACACUGACGUUCAUGCCCGAAAGCGUGGGUAGCAAACAGGAUUAGAUACCCUGGUAGUCCACGCCCUAAACGAUGUCGAUUAGCUGUUGGGCAGCAUGACUGCUUAGUAGCGAAGCUAACGCGUGAAAUCGACCGCCUGGGGAGUACGGUCGCAAGAUUAAAACUCAAAGGAAUUGACGGGGACCCGCACAAGCGGUGGAUGAUGUGGAUUAAUUCGAUGCAACGCGAAGAACCUUACCUGGUCUUGACAUGUACGGAACCCUCCAGAGACGGAGGGGUGCCUUCGGGAGCCGUAACACAGGUGCUGCAUGGCUGUCGUCAGCUCGUGUCGUGAGAUGUUGGGUUAAGUCCCGCAACGAGCGCAACCCUUGUCAUUAGUUGCCAUCAUUAAGUUGGGCACUCUAAUGAGACUGCCGGUGACAAGCCGGAGGAAGGUGGGGAUGACGUCAAGUCCUCAUGGCCCUUAUGACCAGGGCUUCACACGUCAUACAAUGGUCGGUACAGAGGGUAGCCAAGCCGCGAGGUGGAGCCAAUCUCACAAAACCGAUCGUAGUCCGGAUUGCACUCUGCAACUCGAGUGCAUGAAGUCGGAAUCGCUAGUAAUCGCAGGUCAGCAUACUGCGGUGAAUACGUUCCCGGGUCUUGUACACACCGCCCGUCACACCAUGGGAGUGGGGGAUACCAGAAGUAGGUAGGGUAACCGCAAGG
rnacentral:rRNA from 1 species